rnacentral:rRNA from 1 species
GGAGUCUGGGCCGUGUCUCAGUCCCAAUGUGGCCGUUCACCCUCUCAGGCCGGCUAUGCAUCAUCGCCUUGGUGGGCCGUUACCUCACCAACUAGCUAAUGCACCGUAAGCCCAUCUACUUGUGUUUCAAACCUUUAAUAACAGGAGGAUGCCCUCCCGUUACCUAUCCGGUAUUAGCGCCCGUUUCCAGGUGUUAUCCCAGUCCUUGUAGGCAGGUUGCUUACGUAUUACUCACCCGUUCGCCACUAGCUUAACCAAGCAAGCUUGGUCUCGCUCGUUCGACUUGCAUGUAUUAGGCACGCCGCCAGCGUUCAUC